rnacentral:rRNA from 1 species
ACGGGUGAGUAACCCGUGCGAAGCGCCCAACUCUACCGAAGAUCUCUCGUAAACUUGUGGGGCGUCCACGGACUCCCUUCAAGUUUCAGAUUGUUCUUCCGUGGAGUGGCCCGCGUUGGACGCGUUGUUGGUGGUCUAAAGGCCUACUUGCGGGGCGUCCAUAUUUGGUCUGAGAGGAUGAUCGCCCACGUUGGUUCUGAGCCACGGUCCAAACUCAUACGGGAGGCAGCAGUGGGGAAUAUUGGAAAAUGGGCGCAAGCCUGAUCCAGCCAUGCCGCGUGUGUGAUGAAGGCCUUAGGGUUGUAAAGCACUUUCACCGGAGAAGAUAAUGACGGUAUCCGGAGAAGAAGCCCCGGCUAACUUCGUGCCAGCAGCCGCGGUAAUACGAAGGGGGCUAGCGUUGUUCGGAAUUACUGGGCGUAAAGCGCACGUAGGCGGAUCGAUCAGUCAGGGGUGAAAUCCCAGAGCUCAACUCUGGAACUGCCUUUGAUACUGUCGAUCUAGAGUAUGGAAGAGGUGAGUGGAAUUCCGAGUGUAGAGGUGAAAUUCGUAGA